CCUACGGGAGGCAGCAGUCGAGAAUCAUUCACAAUGGGGGAAACCCUGAUGGUGCGACGCCGCGUGGGGGAAUGAAGGUCUUCGGAUUGUAAACCCCUGUCAUGUGGGAGCAAAUUAAAAAGAUAGUACCACAAGAGGAAGAGACGGCUAACUCUGUGCCAGCAGCCGCGGUAAUACAGAGGUCUCAAGCGUUGUUCGGAAUCACUGGGCGUAAGGCGUGCGUAGGCUGUUUCGUAAGUAGUGUGUGAAAGGCGCGGGCUCAACCAGCGGACGGCACAUGAUACUGCGAGACUAGAGUAAUGGAGGGGGAACCGGAAUUCUCGGUGUAGCAGUGAAAUGCGUAGAUAUCGAGAGGAACACUCGUGGCGAAGGCGGGUUCCUGGACAUUAGCUGACGCUGAGGCACGAAGGCCAGGGGAGCGAAAGGGAUUAGAUACCCGAGUAGUC
rnacentral:rRNA from 1 species